rnacentral:SRP_RNA from 1 species
GUGGGGCGCGGUGGCGUGUGCCUGUAGUCCGGGCUACUCGGGAGGCUGAGGUGGGAGGAUCGCUUGAGCCCAGGAGUUCUGGGCUAUAGUGCGCUAUGCCGAUUGGGUGUCUGCACUAAGUUCGGCAUCAAUAUGGUGAACUCCUGGGAGUGGGGGACCAUCAGGCUGCCUAAGGAGGGGUGAACCAGCCCAGGUUGGAAACAGAGCAGGUCAAAACUCCGGUGCUGAUCAGUAGUGGGAUCUCGCCUGUGAAUAGCCACUAGCACUCCAGCAGCCUGGGCCACAUAGCAAGACCCCGUCUCA